rnacentral:rRNA from 1 species
UACGGGGGAUGCAAGCGUUAUCCGGAAUUACUGGGCGUAAAGCGUGCGCAGGCGGUGAUGUAAGACCGAUGUGAAAUCCCCGGGCUUAACCUGGGAACUGCAUUGGUGACUGGCAGGCUUUGAGUGUGGCAGAGGGAGGUAGAAUUCCACGUGUAGCAGUGAAAUGCGUAGAGACGUGGAGGAAUACCGAUGGCGAAGGCAGCCUCCUGGGCCAACACUGACGCUCAUGCACGAAAGCGUGGGGAGCAAACAGG